UACGUAGGGUGCGAGCGUUAAUCGGAAUUACUGGGCGUAAAGCGUGCGCAGGCGGCGCGUUAAGACAGGUGUGAAAGCCCCGAGCUUUAACUUGGGAAUUGCGCUUGUGACUGGCGUGCUGGAGUGUGGCAGAGGGAGGUGGAAUUCCACUGUAGCAGUGAAAUGCGUAGAGAUGUGGGAGGAACACCGAUGGCGAAGGGCAGCCUCCUGGGCCAGCACUGACGCU
rnacentral:rRNA from 1 species